ACAGGGUGGCCGCCCUUCUUCUCCUCCAGCCGGGAUCCCCACGACGAAUCAUCGGCCGCCCUUCUUCUCCUCUGGCCAGAUCCACAGGAUGGCAGCCAAAUCCAUGAUGCAGUGGUAGCGGCGGCGGCGGCGGCGGCUCAUGAUGGAUUAUGGUGGCAGCAAAUCUCCAACAAGCUAGCAGCAGAGCUUCAACAUCCGAGGAACUGCUUGCCUAAUCAAGUGGUGGUUCAGAGUAUUGAUGAGGGGUAUUGAUAAUAAAAACUCCAUUCAGGGGCAGCCGUGGUGUCAUCAAAGGCAGUGGCCAAUGAUCCAGCAGAGGGGGCAGCGUGGUCACGCAGCUCACAUUCAAAGUAUUUUUUCUCCAUUUGCACUGACAGGCGAAAGCUUGGCCUGAGCUUCUUAAUGCUUCUCGGUUGAUUUUAUUGUGUGUGUUCAUUUUUUAAGCAUCAGUGCACCAAAUCAUUAGUAAGAAAGAGGAACUGCGCCCCCCAUUUAAUUGGUUCUACAUGUGCUUAUUUGAUUCUUAGCCUAGGAGUUUCCUUGUGCAGCCAAUAGGAGCAAGGUUGAUUAACAUAUUUCAGAGGAUUAAUGCAUAUAUGAAGGUUGGUUGUC